CAUUUUAAAAAUUAUAAAAACACAAAAUUUGUAAAAAUUAAGACGCUGGGGAGAGAAACAGGUCAUUUUCAACAAGACAUCGUAAAAUCCGUCAGUCGCUCCCUGGUUUUCGACCUCCGGCAACUAUCCCUGGUAGCGCCCGGACUUGGAGGGUAGAUAUCCAAUACUUACUCCCGCCGGCGUCUACGAAACAAUAACGUUGUAACAAACAAAUUAAUGUGAACGUGAAGGAGGUGAUGGACUUUGGAACUCGUGGGAGACAAAAGUGCAGAAAGGCUAAAAGGCGGUGGACAGGAGGCAUUCCAUUGGGAGACUGCGAACAAACCACCUCGAACGUAGCUGCUUCAACUUGGCUUGUGAAGAAUCAUCUUAUGAGAAAACAUCAGGAAAACAGCAUUCAUCGUAUAUGCAUGAUACAUUGCUUCAUAUAAAGAAAAUAACCGAAUUAUUUCAAAAUCAAAUCUACAGAUGGACCAAAUUACGAUAAUUGUUGAUAACAAAAUUUAAAAAGCAUCGGUGUAUAAUUAACCCAAAUA